UAAUGAACAGAUGGUAUGAAUAUUAGGUGGAAAUGAUCUAUUAUAUAAAAAAACCCAAAUGUUUUCCAUUCAUUCUUUUGCUGGACCUUGUAAUAAAGAUGAAAUUGUCGUUUCUUCUUGUCCUCUUUGCGAUCGUCGCUGGCACCGUUCAGUCUUGUAGGGAUUGCUAUAGCAGAGGAAAGCGAUAUCGAGUCAACGAGAGGUUCACAUUUGACUUCAUGUGUACAAGAUAUACUUGUGAAUGCAGAUGUAAUGGUGUAACUUACUGCCCAAAGAAUCUUACUAGGGAGAUACCUUGCGGAAGAAAACGAAGGAGUCACAGGAUUGGUGGUCAAAGUUAACGUGCGAUAUCGCAAGCCUGUAAACGACAUUAAUCCUAGAAUGCUUCCCUCAUCAGUGAACAGACAAAAGUGCUUCAAUUCUUCUUCCGUAAAGUUUUCCUUUGUUACAGUUUGAAUAAAGAAACUUUGCAAUCCUCAA